rnacentral:rRNA from 1 species
GACGAACGCUGGCGGCGUGCCUAAUACAUGCAAGUCGAGCGGACCGGAUUGGGGCUUGCCUUGAUUCGGUCAGCGGCGGACGGGUGAGUAACACGUGGGCAACCUGCCCGCAAGACCGGGAUAACUCCGGGAAACCGGAGCUAAUACCGGAUAACACCGAAGACCGCAUGGUCUUCGGUUGAAAGGCGGCCUUUGGGCUGUACCUUGCGUAGGGGCCCGGGGCGCAUUGGCUAUGUGGUGAGGUAACGGCUCACCAAGGCGACGAUGCGUAGCCGGCCUGAGAGGGUGACCGGCCACACUGGGACUGAGACACGGCCCAGACUCCUACGGGAGGCAGCAGUAGGGAAUAUUCCGCAAUGGGCGAAAGCCUGACGGAGCGACGCCGCGUGAGCGAAGAAGGCCUUCGGGUCGUAAAGCUCUGUUGUGAGGGACGAAGGAGCGCCGUUCGAAGAGGGCGGCGCGGUGACGGUACCUCACGAGAAAGCCCCGGCUAACUACGUGCCAGCCGCCGCCGUAA